CCUACGGGAGGCAGCAGUGAGGAAUUUUCCGCAAUGGGCGAAAGCCUGACGGAGCAAUGCCGCGUGGAGGAUGAAAGCCUGUGGGUCGUAAACUCCUUUUCUCAGAGAAGAAAUUUUGACGGUAUCUGAGGAAUAAGCAUCGGCUAACUCCGUGCCAGCAGCCGCGGUAAGACGGGGGAUGCAAGUGUUAUCCGGAAUAAUUGGGCGUAAAGCGUCUGUAGGUGGCUUACCAAGUCUGUUGUUAAAAAUCAGGGCUUAACCCUGAUCCGGCAACAGAAACUAGUAGGCUUGAGUACGGUAGAGGCAGAGGGAAUUCUCGGUGUAGUGGUGAAAUACGUAGAUAUCGAGAAGAACACCAAUAGCGAAAGCACUCUGCUGGGCCGAAACUGACAUUGAGAGACGAAAGCUAGGGGAGCGAAAGGGAUUAGAUACCCCUCUAGUCCUAGCCGUAAACGAUGGAUACUAAGUGCUGUGCGACUCAAACCGUCCAGUGCUGUAGCUAACGCGUGAAGUAUCCCGCCUG
rnacentral:rRNA from 1 species